CUUGGUCAUUUAGAGGAAGUAAAAGUCGUAACAAGGUUUCCGUAGGUGAACCUGCGGAAGGAUCAUUAAAGAAUGCCCCGUUUUUUGAAAUGGGUUCUAUUCCCAAACCGUGUAUACAUACCUUUGUUGCUUUGGCAGGCCGCCUUCGGGCGUCGGCUCACGCUGACCGCGCCUGCCAGAGGACCCAAACUCGUUUGUUUAGUGAUGUCUGAGUACUAUAUAAUAGUUAAAACUUUCAACAACGGAUCUCUUGGUUCUGGCACCGAUGAAGAACGCAGCGAAGCGCGAAAUGUAGUGUGAAUCGCAGAACAUUGUGAAUCAUCGAAUCUUUGAACGCACAUUGCGCCUCCAGUAACUUGGAGGCAUGCCUGUCUGAGCGUCAUUUAAAACCAUAGACCCUUCUGGGUUUGUAUUGGGCCUCGCCUCCGGGCGUAGCCUCAAAGUCAUCGGUCUUAUACGCGGACGAGCUCCAUUCGGACGGAACGUGUGCAGACCUUAAUUCAUCUGACUUGACCUCAGAUCAGGUAGGACUACCGCCUGAACUUAAGCAUAUCAAUAAGCGGAGGA
rnacentral:rRNA from 1 species